rnacentral:rRNA from 1 species
AUUGAACGCUGGCGGCAGGCCUAACACAUGCAAGUCGAGCGAGCGGCGGACGGGUGAGUUAUGUAUGGGGAUCUGCCCGAUAGAGGGGGAUAACUACUGGAAACGGUGGCUAAUACCGCAUACUUUCGGCUGAGCCGGUAUGGGAUUAGCGAGUGGGUGGGGUAAAGGCUCACCUAGGCGACGAUCUCUAGCUGGUCUGAGAGGAUGAUCAGCCACACUGGAACUGAGACACGGCCCAGACUCCUACGGGAGGCAGCAGUGGGGAAUAUUGCACAAUGGGCGAAAGCCUGAUGCAGCCAUGCCGCGUGUAUGAAGAAGGCCUUAGGGUUGUAAAGUACUUUCAGCGGGGAGGCGUUACCCGCAGAAGAAGCACCGGCUAACUCCGUGCCAGCCGCCGCGGUAAUUC